rnacentral:rRNA from 1 species
ACGCUGGCGGCGUGCCUAAUACAUGCAAGUCGAACGGCUUUUCUAUGGAAGCUUGCUUCCACUGAGAAGAUAGUGGCGAACGGGUGAGUAACACGUGGGUAACCUGCCCAUAAGAGGGGGGAUAACAUCCGGAAACGGGUGCUAAUACCGCAUAGUUUUCUUGAUCGCAUGAUCGGGAAAGGAAAGACGGCCUUUGUGCUGUCGCUUAUGGAUGGACCCGCGGCGUAUUAGUUAGUUGGUGAGGUAACGGCUCACCAAGACGAUGAUACGUAGCCGACCUGAGAGGGUGAUCGGCCACAUUGGGACUGAGACACGGCCCAAACUCCUACGGGAGGCAGCAGUAGGGAAUCUUCCGCAAUGGACGAAAGUCUGACGGAGCAACGCCGCGUGAGUGAAGAAGGUUUUUCCGGAUCGUAAAACUCUGUUGUCAGAGAAGAACAAGUUGGAGAGUAACUGCUCCAGCCUUGACGGUAUCUGACCAGAAAGCCACGGCUAACUACGUGCCAGCAGCUGC